UACGGAGGGUGCAAACGUUGCUCGGAAUUAUUGGGCGUAAAGCGCACGUAGGCGGUUCGUUAUGUCGGAUGUGAAAGCCCUCGGCUUAACCGAGGAAGUGCAUCCGAAACUGGCGAGCUUGAGUACGGAAGAGGGUCUCGGAAUUCCCGGUGUAGAGGUGAAAUUCGUAGAUAUCGGGAGGAACACCAGUGGCGAAGGCGGAGACCUGGGCCGAUACUGACGCUGAGGUGCGAAAGCGUGGGGAGCAAACGGG
rnacentral:rRNA from 1 species